rnacentral:rRNA from 1 species
ACGCUCGACACCUACGGGAGGCAGCAGUGGGGAAUAUUGCACAAUGGGGGAAACCCUGAUGCAGCGACGCCGCGUGGAGGAAGAAGGUCUUCGGAUUGUAAACUCCUGUUGUUGGGGAAAAAGAGGAUGGUACCCAACAAGGAAGUGACGGCUAACUACGUGUCAGCAGCCGCGGUAAUCUGAGCGGGCUGCAAGGC